rnacentral:snRNA from 1 species
ACCUGCGGUAUACUGCAGGUUAAU